UAAUACGGAGGGUCCAAGCGUUGUCCGGAAUCACUGGGUGUAAAGGGUGCGCAGGCGGGCUUGUAAGUCAGAGGUGAAAUCCCCCGGCCUAACCGGGGAACUGCCUUUGAUACUGCAAGUCUUGAGUCUUGGAGAGGUUGCCAGAAUUCGUGGUGUAGCGGUGAAAUGCGUAGAUAUCACGAGGAAUACCUGAGGCGUAGGCGGGCAACUGGACAAGUACUGACGCUGAGGCACGAAAGCGUGGGGAGCAAACAGGAUUAGAUACCCUGGUAGUCCACGCCGUAAACGAUGGAUGCUCGAUGCUGGUCCGUUUCAGGGGCAGUGUCCAAGCUAACGCGUUAAGCAUCCCACCUGGGGAGUACGAUCGCAAGGUUG
rnacentral:rRNA from 1 species